rnacentral:rRNA from 1 species
UACGAAGGGGGCUAGCGUUGCUCGGAAUUACUGGGCGUAAAGCGCACGUAGGCGGUCUUUUAAGUCGGUGGUGAAAUCCUGGAGCUCAACUCCAGAACUGCCUUCGAUACUGGAAGACUUGAGUCCGGGAGAGGUGAGUGGAACUGCGAGUGUAGAGGUGAAAUUCGUAGAUAUUCGCAAGAACACCAGUGGCGAAGACGGCUCACUGGCCCGGUACUGACGCUGAGGUGCGAAAGCGUGGGGAGCAAACAGG